GUUCUUGCUUCAGCAGCACAUAUAAUAAAACUGGAACUGUACAGAGAAGACUAGCACGGUCCCUGCACAAGGAUGACACACAAAUUCGUGAAGUGUUCCAUAUUUUA
ensembl:snRNA U6 U6 spliceosomal RNA